GAGUUUGAUCAUGGCUCAGAUUGAACGCUGGCGGCAGGCCUAACACAUGCAAGUCGAACGGUAACAGGAAGAAGCUUGCUUCUUUGCUGACGAGUGGCGGACGGGUGAGUAAUGUCUGGGAAACUGCCUGAUGGAGGGGGAUAACUACUGGAAACGGUAGCUAAUACCGCAUAACGUCGCAAGACCAAAGAGGGGGACCUUCGGGCCUCUUGCCAUCGGAUGUGCCCAGAUGGGAUUAGCUAGUAGGUGGGGUAACGGCUCACCUAGGCGACGAUCCCUAGCUGGUCUGAGAGGAUGACCAGCCACACUGGAACUGAGACACGGUCCAGACUCCUACGGGAGGCAGCAGUGGGGAAUAUUGCACAAUGGGCGCAAGCCUGAUGCAGCCAUGCCGCGUGUAUGAAGAAGGCCUUCGGGUUGUAAAGUACUUUCAGCGGGGAGGAAGGGAGUAAAGUUAAUACCUUUGCUCAUUGACGUUACCCGCAGAAGAAGCACCGGCUAACUCCAUGCCAGCAGCCGCGGUAAUACGGAGGGUGCAAGCGUUAAUCGGAAUUACUGGGCGUAAAGCGCACGCAGGCGGUUUGUUAAGUCAGAUGUGAAAUCCCCGGGCUCAACCUGGGAACUGCAUCUGAUACUGGCAAGCUUGAGUCUCGUAGAGGGGGGUAGAAUUCCAGGUGUAGCGGUGAAAUGCGUAGAGAUCUGGAGGAAUACCGGUGGCGAAGGCGGCCCCCUGGACGAAGACUGACGCUCAGGUGCGAAAGCGUGGGGAGCAAACAGGAUUAGAUACCCUGGUAGUCCACGCCGUAAACGAUGUCGACUUGGAGGUUGUGCCCUUGAGGCGUGGCUUCCGGAGCUAACGCGUUAAGUCGACCGCCUGGGGAGUACGGCCGCAAGGUUAAAACUCAAAUGAAUUGACGGGGGCCCGCACAAGCGGUGGAGCAUGUGGUUUAAUUCGAUGCAACGCGAAGAACCUUACCUGGUCUUGACAUCCACAGAGCUUUCCAGAGAUGGAUUGGUGCCUUCGGGAACUGUGAGACAGGUGCUGCAUGGCUGUCGUCAGCUCGUGUUGUGAAAUGUUGGGUUAAGUCCCGCAACGAGCGCAACCCUUAUCUUUUGUUGCCAGCGGUCCGGCCGGGAACUCAAAGGAGACUGCCAGUGAUAAACUGGAGGAAGGUGGGGAUGACGUCAAGUCAUCAUGCCCCUUACGACCAGGGCUACACACGUGCUACAAUGGCGCAUACAAAGAGAAGCGACCUCGCGAGAGCAAGCGGACCUCAUAAAGUGCGUCGUAGUCCGGAUUGGAGUCUGCAACUCGACUCCAUGAAGUCGGAAUCGCUAGUAAUCGUGGAUCAGAAUGCCACGGUGAAUACGUUCCCGGGCCUUGUACACACCGCCCGUCACACCAUGGGAGUGGGUUGCAAAAGAAGUAGGUAGCUUAACCUUCGGGAGGGCGCUUACCACUUUGUGAUUCAUGACUGGGGUGAAGUCGGAACAAGGUAACCGUAGGGGAACCUGCGGUUG
rnacentral:rRNA from 1 species